AUUGAACGCUGGCGGAAUGCUUAACACAUGCAAGUCGAACGGUGACGAGGAGCUUGCUCCUCUGAUCAGUGGCGAACGGGUGAGUAACACGUGAGUAACCUGCCCCAGACUCUGGGAUAACAGUUGGAAACAGCUGCUAAUACCGGAUACGAGACGGAGAGGCAUCUCUACCGUCUGGAAAGUUUUCGGUCUGGGAUGGACUCGCGGCCUAUCAGCUUGUUGGUGAGGUAAUGGCUCACCAAGGCGACGACGGGUAGCCGGCCUGAGAGGGCGACCGGCCACACUGGGACUGAGACACGGCCCAGACUCCUACGGGAGGCAGCAGUGGGGAAUAUUGCACAAUGGGCGAAAGCCUGAUGCAGCGACGCCGCGUGAGGGAUGACGGCCUUCGGGUUGUAAACCUCUUUCAGCAGGGAAGAAGCGAAAGUGACGGUACCUGCAGAAGAAGCACCGGCUAACUACGUG
rnacentral:rRNA from 1 species